rnacentral:rRNA from 1 species
GACGAACGCUGGCGGCGUGCCUAAUACAUGCAAGUCGAACGCAGUGGGGACGGUUGAGUAACACGUGGGUAACCUCCCAUCAGAGGGGAUAACACUUCGAAACAGGUGCUAAACCGCUACUGGUGGCUUGUCCCGCGGUGCAUUAGCUAGUUGGUGAGGUAACGGCUCACCAAGGCCACGAUGCAUAGACGGCCUGAGGGGGUGAUCGGCCAAACGGGGACGGAGACACGGCCCUGACUCCUAGGGGAGGCAGCGGUGGGGAAGCUUCGGCAAUGGCCGAAAGUGUGACCGAGCAACGCCGCGUGAGUGAAGAAGGUUUGCGGGUCGUAGAGCUGUGUGGUUAGAGAGGCGGUAUGUAAAGAGAAAGCCACGGCUAACUACGUGCCAGCAGCCGCGGUAAUUC